rnacentral:rRNA from 1 species
UUUGGUCAAGAUAAUAAGGGCAAUUGGUGGAUGCCUAGGCAUAUAGAGGCGAUGAAGGACGUGGCUAGCUGCGAUAAGCUUCGGUGAGGUGCAAACAACCUUUGAUCCGGAGAUUUCCGAAUGGGGCAACCCUUCAUGAGUAAUAUCAUGAAACUUCCGGUUGAAUAUAUAGACCGGAUAGAGCGAACGGGGAGAAUUGAAACAUCUUAGUAACCCCUGGAAAAGAAAACAACCGUGAUUCUCCUAGUAGCGGCGAGCGAACGGGGAAUAGCCCAAAUCUGUUUUAUGUUCAAGCCUGCCGGCGUUGUAAAACAGGCGUAGCGGGGCGAUUUUGGAGAGAUCGGCAGGUCUCUCGACAAGUCAAAAAUCUGCACAUUAUUUGAAUAGCUCUGGAAAGGGCUAACCGCAGAAGGUGAUAGUCCUGUAGAAGAAAAUCUGCAGACUUGUUGAAAGUCGUUCCCAAGUACCACGGAUCACGAGGAAUUUUGUGGGAAUCUACCGGGACCACCCGGAAAGGCUAAAUACUCCUAUAUGACCGAUAGUGAACUAGUACCGCGAGGGAAAGGUGAAAAGUACUCCUGACGGAGAGUGAAAUAGAACCUGAAACCGAUUGCUUACAAUCUGUCGGAGUCCGCCUAUGGCGGAUGACGGCGUGCCUUUUGCAUAAUGAGCCAGCGAGUUGCUCGUAGGUUGCGAGAUUAAUCCAAAACGGAGGAGUCGCAGCGAAAGCGAGUUUUAAUAGAACGAAUAGUAACUUGCGGCAGACCCGAAGCCGGGUGAUCUAUCCAUGGACAGGAUGAAGUUCCGGUAACACGGAAUGGAGGUCCGAACUCACCAGCGUUGAAAAACUGGGGGAUGAGCUGUGGAUAGGGGUGAAAGGCCAAUCAAACCCGGUGAUAGCUGGUUCUCCCCGAAAUAUUUUUAGGAAUAGCCUUGCAUGUAGUGUAGCGGAGGUAGAGCUCUGAAUGGACUAGGGGUCUUACCAGAUUACCAAAUCCAACCAAACUCCAAAUGCCGUUUACAUGCUGUGCAGGAGUCAGGCUGCGGGGGAUAAGCUUCGUGGCCGAGAGGGAAAUAACCCAGAUCGAUAGCUAAGGUCCCUAAAUACAGGGUAAGUGAGUAAGGAUGUGAAAUUACACAGACAGCUAGGAUGUUGGCUUAGAAGCAGCCACCAUUUAAAGAGUGCGUAAUUGCUCACUAGUCAAGUGGUUUUGCGCCGAUAAUUUACGGGACUGUAAACCCUGUUACCGAAGCUUCGGACACCGACACUUGUGUCGGUUUGGUAGGGGAGCGUUCCAUCAACCUGUGAAGGUCAAUCGUGAGGUUGGCUGGAGGAAAUGGAAUUGAGUAUGCUGGCAUUAGUAGCGAUAAUUCCGAUGAGAUUUCGGAACACCGAAAGCCUAAGGUUUCCUGAGUAAAGUAAAUCUGCUCAGGGUUAGUCGGGCCCUAAGCCGAGGCCGAGAGGCGUAGGCGAUGGAUAACAGGUUGAAUAUUCCUGUACCGUCUGUUUGUCGUUUGAGCUAUGGGGUGACGCAGGAGUGAAAGGUCAGCCGGGUGUUGAACGUCCCGGUUUAAGCAGGUAGAGGGAUCUGAUUGGCAAAUCCGUUAGGUCAUACCUCGAGACGCGAAUAGGAGUCCUCUGGACACAAACUGACCCUAAACAAGCUGACUAGAAAAGCCUCUAUGCGAGAUGAAUAGAUGUCCGUACCACAAACCGACACAGGUAGGCGAGGAGAGUAUCCUAAGGUGACGAGAUAGCUCUAGUUAAGGAACUAGGCAAAUUUGCCCCGUAACUUCGGAAUAUGGGACGCCUUGAGUAGGUCAAUCCGAUUACUUCGGUAAGCCGGAAGCGCCCAAAAAGGCCACAGUGAAAAGGUCUUGGCGACUGUUUACUAAAAACACAGGUCUAUGCUAAGCCGUAAGGCGAUGUAUAUGGACUGACACCUGCCCGGUGCUGGAAGGUUAAGGGGACGAGUCAUCCCGACUUGUCGGGAGAAGCCCUGAACUGAAGCCCCAGUAAACGGCGGCCGUAACUAUAACGGUCCUAAGGUAGCGAAAUUCCUUGUCGGGUAAGUUCCGACCCGCACGAAUGGUGUAACGACUUGGACACUGUCUCAACUAGAGCCUCGGCGAAUUUGUAAUGCCGGUGAAGAUGCCGGCUACCCGCAGCGGGACAGAAAGACCCCGGAACCUUUACUAUAACUUGGCAUUGGAUUUUGGUUUUGUACGUGUAGGAUAGGUGGGAGACUUUGAAGCGUCGACGCUAGUCGGCGUGGAGUCGUCCUUGAAAUACCACCCUUAUAAUGCUAGGAUUCUAACCCAUCCGCCUGAAUCGGCGGAGGGGACAUUGUCAGGCGGGUAGUUUGACUGGGGCGGUCGCCUCCUAAAGAGUAACGGAGGCUCCCAAAGGUUCCCUCAGCACGGUUGGUAAUCGUGCGCAGAGUGUAAAGGCAUAAGGGAGCUUAACUGCGAGACCAACAAGUCGAGCAGAUGCGAAAGCAGGGCUUAGUGAUCCGGCGGUAGCGAGUGGAAGUGCCGUCGCUCAAAGGAUAAAAGGUACUCUGGGGAUAACAGGCUGAUCUCCUCCAAGAGUUCACAUCGACGAGGAGGUUUGGCACCUCGAUGUCGGCCCGUCACAUCCUGGGGCUGGAGAAGGUCCCAAGGGUUGGGCUGUUCGCCCAUUAAAGUGGCACGCGAGCUGGGUUUAGAACGUCGUGAGACAGUUCGGUCCUUAUCCGCUGUGGGCGCAGGAGAUUUGAGGGGGGCUAUUCUUAGUACGAGAGGACCAGAAUGGACGAACCUCUGGUGUACCAGUUGUGCCGUCAGGUGCACCGCUGGGUAGCUAAGUUCGGUUAGGAUAAACGCUGAAAGCAUAUAAGUGUGAAACCUUCCCCAAGACGAGAUCUCCCUCCCGCCGAAAGGCGGGACUUAAGGCUCCUUGUAGAUUACAAGGUUGAUAGGUCAUAGAUGUAAGGCCAGUAAUGGUUUUAGUCGAGUGAUACUAAUAAGCCGUGCGUCUUGGCCAAA